ensembl:ncRNA C10F3.14 ncRNA
UGGAUUGAGUGCCAAAAUCGGAUGAAAAAAGGAGGAAAAAUGAAAGAAAAGAAGGAACAGAAGAGGAUGGGCGGGAUAGAAGAGGGUCAGUCUGAAAUGAUGAUUGACGUUUCUUUUUUUUUCUCAAUUUGAUCCGUCCCUUCCACUU